rnacentral:lncRNA from 1 species
AAGUACCGCUCGACUAGACGCGGUGCUGGCCGCUAUCACGGCCUAUAAUGAAAAUAUUGCACGAAUAGGACAAUUAUUGACUCGAAAUGAACAACCAAUGUAAGGACUGAGAUUUUUGACAGUGUAACUAAACUCUCGGUUGCUGAUGUUUAUGUGUGUAAUUUAAUUACAUAAGCACUCGUCAAGUUUCAGGAGAAACUGAGCUAAAACGGAGAAGUUACGCGAUUAUUAGUUUUCACUUAAGUGAAUAGUAACUCCGGUUUUUCGGUGAAGCCACGGAGUAGAGUUGGCUUUCUACGCGUAUCGGACUCCGUUCAUAGUGAUCCAAUAGCUCGUUUCGACCGGUUCAGCUAUUCUGGAACUACUGGCGCUGACGGAUUUUGAGUUUGACGCACGAACUUCAAGAAAAUCCAAAAAUACAUGUUUUAUAUGUAUUUAGGUGUUAUUUUCUUAUGUGGAAAGAAGAUUGGAUUGUGUCGUGAAUCCGUGGUUGAUCGAGGUGAAGCGAAAUCACAGCUUUGUUGUCUCCGUCGUGCUGAACGCGAUGGCGCCGUCGGAUCGAAAAUCCGAUGGACGGAUUUUCGGGAAAUGCGAAAUGUUCGCUAAGGGGUCGAGAGUGGAAAAUCGGGAAAUUCGCAAAAGUCGUAAUAUUUUAUGUACCGUUUCACGUGAGAUCGCACGUGGAGGGGUAUCC